rnacentral:rRNA from 1 species
GGCAGCGGGGGUGCAGGCUUGCCUGCACCUGCCGGCGACCGGCGCACGGGUGAGUAACACGUAUGGAACCUGCCCGCCACAGGGGGAUAACCCGGGGAAACCCGGCCUAAUACCCCAUGCCGCCCGGACCGGGCAUCCGGACCGGGCGAAAGGAGGAAUCCGGUGGCGGCUGGGCAUGCGGCGCAUUAGCUUGACGGCGGGGUAACGGCCCACCGUGGCGACGAUGCGUAGGGGUUCUGAGAGGAAGGCCCCCCACACUGGAACUGAGACACGGUCCUGACUCCUACGGGAGGCAGCAGUGAGGAAUAUUGGUCAAUGGGCGGAAGCCUGAACCAGCCAAGUCGCGUGAGGGAAUAAGGCCCUACGGGUCGUAAACCUCUUUUGCCGGGGAGCAAGGGCCGGGACGAGUCCCGGCCCGGAGAGUACCCGGAGAAAAAGCAUCGGCUAACUCCGUGCCAGCAGCCGCGGUAAUACGGAGGAUGCGAGCGUUAUCCGGAUUUAUUGGGUUUAAAGGGUGCGUAGGCGGGCUUUUAAGUCAGCGGUAAAAAUUCGGGGCUCAACCCCGUCCGGCCGUUGAAACUGGGGGCCUUGAGUGGGCGAGAAGAAGGCGGAAUGCGUGGUGUAGCGGUGAAAUGCAUAGAUAUCACGCAGAACCCCGAUUGCGAAGGCAGCCUUCCGGCGCCCUACUGACGCUGAGGCACGAAAGUGCGGGGAUCGAACAGGAUUAGAUACCCUGGUAGUCCGCACAGUAAACGAUGGAUGCCAGCUGUCCGGGCCGAAUGGGGCCUGGGUGGCAAAGCGAAAGCGU